rnacentral:rRNA from 1 species
ACAACGGGUGGAGCUUGCGGUUUAAUUGGAUUCAACGCCGGAAAUCUUACCGGGACCGACAGCAAUAUGAAGGCCAGGCUGAAGACUUUGCCGGAUUAGCUGAGAGGUGGUGCAUGGCCGUCGUCAGUUCGUACUGUGAAGCAUCCUGUUAAGUCAGGCAACGAGCGAGACCCACGCCCACAGUUGCCAGCGUACUCUCUGGAGUGACGGGUACGCUGUGGGGACCGCCGCUGCUAAAGCGGAGGAAGGAAUGGGCAACGGUAGGUCAGUAUGCCCCGAAUAUCCCGGGCUACACGCGAGCUACAAUGGUUGGUACAAUGGGUAUCUACCCCGAAAGGGGACGGGAAUCUCCUAAAACCAAUCUUAGUUCGGAUUGAGGGCUGCAACUCGCCCUCAUGAAGCUGGAAUCCGUAGUAAUCGCGUUUCAACAGAACGCGGUGAAUACGUCCCUGCCCCUU